ACAGUGUUUGGUGGAUGAUGGUCUGUGCUUGGGAGUGCACACAUAAAACUUCUUUUGCCUUUGGAUUGUCCUGGUAUGUUUAUAAGUCAGGGGAUAGUUUUAUUGAAAAGAUUCAUUUAUUGGAGUAAAUUAAAUCCAAGCAUGUAGAAGAUAUUUAAACUUUGGAACAGCAGAGACCAUUUGUAAAUAGAAGCAAUCAAAGCCGACAGUGUUUAGACAUUCGUGGAGACAUCAAGGGACAGCUUGUAAGAUAAUGUAUGAGAAUUAUACAGUGGUCUUGUCAUCAGUGACACAUGACUGUUUACAAUAAAGUCCUCUUCUGAAACUUUUUGAACUGUUGUGCUGUUCAAAAUAACCUUGCUCAAUAAAAGAGAGGAAUCAACUGUCAUUAAGUAUGAAUACGAGCAACGAACACAAAGCUUUAUGCAAAAUCAACUUAUUUGUAAAAACUCAAAAUAAUGUUGCUAUAUCUGCUAAACUGUUCCUUGUAAUACCUUUCUGUCUGGGUUAUCUGAGAGAAUAAGAAUGACCUUAUUGAGUGUGAACAGAAAAGACUAAGUCCUUGGUUGUGUAAAUCAGUGUUCAAGUGUCAUCAUGUUUAACACCAGAACCACUGUACAGGACACUGUGUAGCAAUCUGCCAUAAAUGUGACAUGAACAGUGUUAGCUAAAACCUCACUGACGGUUACAGCUUGACAUAACAUGUCACAUUAUGACAUAAUGCAAGAACUGAACAGGAAUAGUUGUUAUCAGUAUCAGGGAAAACCAAUUUCAUAGUAAUGCAGCUGUUCCUCUAAUUAGUGCACUGAAACAUUAUAUUUUUUCCUUGUUCAGAUUGUCAUAAUGCUGAACAGUUUCAUUACAACAGGCAGAAUAUACCUGGGUAUUGAAAACUAGAUGUUUAAAAAUGGAAACUGCGUAUUUUUGUAAAUUUAACAAUGGAACAAAUGUCAUCAUGCUUUAUAACAGAGAGGAUGUUCUGUGUUGAACAGAAAUAAAUGAUCUGAAUAGUUUUUUUCCUGAGAAACACCUUUGCAUGCUUCACUCCCAAAUGUUUUUUUCUUUCCUCUUUCUCUGAAUUUCUGCUUCAGCACUCCUCUGUCCCACUUCAUUGCUAAUUACUUCCAACAUUUUCUCGGCUAUUGCACUUUUUCCAGUUUUGGACCUGCCCUGACCCCUCAAGCUGCUUGCCUGCUGCUGGCUUUCUCACCUCUGCUCCUCCACGGUGAUGCUCACUUGGCUUGCUCAUCUAAAUAACAGCUUUUACAGUUUGGAAGAAGUCUGAGGUUUGUGAUACAGGUAAAUACCUAUAGCUGGAAUGAGGUGGAUGUCUGCUGUGUUACUCUCCAAAAAUAUAACUCUCUACUGAACCACAGAUUGGUAUUGCAAGACCUGUCCUUGGUUCUCAGUUCCUGAAGGCACCUGGAAGCACCCAUGGGUAUGCCUGCCUUUCCAUUCAUAGCGAGCCUUCAAACAGACCUGAAGCCUGUGGAGAUGUUUGGAUACCAAUGUAAAUGAAGCAACACAGUGCAAAUGGCACUCAAAAUAAUGUCUGUCAUCCCUCGGAAGGUGUAGUGCUUCGGUAUUUGGAAGUGAAAGAUUCUUUAAGAGUUAAAAGCAGUGCAUAUGUAUCCAAGGAUACAGUUCCUUACCUGAAAUAUCUGAAAAUUAUUCUGAGAAAUCUGAAGAACCUGUUGUUCUAUUUCUUCUGUCUUUUGUCAGGUAGAGGACAGGUUUGAGAACUUACUACAGUUUUUUUCUAGUGUGAAGGCCAAUGACGGCCCAAUCCACUGCCUGUUCAUUCUCCAUAAGUAUGCUAAGUCAUUUUAUAAAACUAAACAUAAAGGCUAGAAAAUAUUAUAGGGAUUUUAAGAAAGCAUUUGUGAACAUGAAGCUGUUGUUUGCCAGCUGCCAAGAGUUUUGUGGGUCGGCCAUCUGCCUCCACCAGCAGCAGGAACAAAAUACGACGGGGUCAGGCAGUAAUGGGGCUGCUGCCGCUUUGCAAUUUCUUGGUGACAGUGAUAGAUUUUAAAACAAAUUGGUGCUUAGGUUCCAGAGGAAAACUCCUCAGCAGAUUACAGCACUAUCAAGAGGGGUCAGAAUCGGAGCCAAAUCUGUUUGACGGUGUCUUGCUACCUCCUACCUGGUGCUGCUGCACAGUGUCUACAAUGCCCAGGUGGCACUGACAGUUCUAAUGCUGAAAUACUGCCCCAGCUCCAUCCUACACACAUUUCAGGACAUUUUUUUGAUGCUCUUCCUGUAGAUGGGAAAAAGAAGUAGAGGAAUCCUAUCACAGAUGAAGUUGUUUGCCCUGUCCCCGCCAGCUAUUCAUUAUAUCACAGGCCAAAACCAAUGAAUAGGAAAAUAGAUAUCCUGUCUCAUCUGGUCAAGACCCAAAUUGUCAGAAAGUUUACCUUGAUGAAAAACAAACCCUCUGAGGACAUCCAGUCCUGGAACACAUUCACUGGCAAAAACACGGAAUCUGGAGACCUUUAACUGGCAAAAGGACCCCACAGAUGCUAAUGGAUAAUUUGUGAUUUAGAGAUGAAAAGAGCAAGCUGUUGGAAAUCUGUUUGUGGUACAGCUGGGGCACCAAGCUGAGACCUGCUUACCCACUCCCACAUGUUCUUUUAAAGACUGUCAGUCCAUACACAGUUAUCUGAUACAGUAAUGAAGUUAUCUGAUAAGUAAUGAAUUAGCCAUCACCAAAAAUCUUCCAGACCCUAACCCAAAAAGCAGAGGAUAUUAAAGAAGGCACCUGGGAAGCCAUGGGCUAAGUGAAAAUAUUGACUACACCUAGGAAAGAGGUAGCUAUUUGGUGAAAAAAUAAAUCUGACAUCAAUGCAAACCCAAAUUGUACUAUUGCCAUGUUAUAACAGCACAAUUAGACUGGAAUUAAUUACUUUUAUCUCUGUAGAGAAGACAGCACUGAUGGUUGCUAUACUUAGGGGUGCAUAUCCAUACUGUUGAACCAUGCUACAGCAAACAGACAAUCAAAAGAAAAUUAAACCUGAAUGCUGAGAUGACCCCGAGAUUGGGGCUUCGCUGGCAUUGUCUGUCCCAUCACUCAGCAGGGAGAUCAUCUGCUCGCAGGUUACCUGCAGUUCCCAGUGUUCCCAGAGACCCAAAAACUGACUUCUGAGAAUAAAUUGCUGCCAAGGGUAUGGAGAAAACAUCUUCUCUUGCACAGGUUUGAAUUUAGCAUUAAAUAAGACAAUCCUGAACACUGUAUUUUUUAACCUGCUUAUGAUAACUCCAUCUGCUUUGCUGUGAAACUGCUGGAAGCACAUAACAGAAAUUACAUGCUGGUUGCAAAAGGAGAUGGCACCAUUGAGCAUCUUGUUACUGGUAAGUUGAAGUAGACUAAUACUUAAAGUAUCCUUGGGCUUCAGCUGCCAAUCUCUUUAAUCAGAUCUACUGUCUUUUGCUGUCAUUUCUACAAGUACUACAGGUCUAAAUUAGAGGCUGGAUCUCUUCACGUUGUCAUUAAAGAACUGUGAAAGAGCAAUGGCCACAGUAGACAAUGAUUAUUUUGACAAGGGGAUCAUAUUAUACCUCUGUACUCUCCCAGAGCAAAUCAUACUUGAUCAUUAUAAUUGAGAGGUGCAUUUCUUCAGACUGAUGACUUCUAUCUUUGUAGCAUUUCUUUUCAGCCUAGAUUAUUACUUGUUUCCUUCCUUCACUGCUACUAAGCACUACACUAGCAGGUAUAGAGUUUUAUCCUUUGCCAUCCCUAUAAUCUGAUGUUAUUUCCACAAGAUAGCCUUUUGAAUAAGGUAUUUCAAUGUCAGUGAUUUGAUUCCUUUACCACUAUUUACAUAAAUAAAAUAAGCCAUAACAAUCCAAUAUAGAGCGUACAUGACUGCAUUCACUCCCUUUGAUCCCUAAACAUUUGAAAUGUGAUUCCUUUCCUGUGACAGUACAGAUACCGUCAAACAGAAACAUCUCUUGGCUGAAUUCAGUACGGGCCUAUCACUUUUAACAACUUUCACUUGAGAAAAAAAAAUAUUAAUAAUAACCUUAUUCCUUGCAAAGUGAUGAGUGGAACCAUUUUUGUGGCUUAAAUUAUUGAUUGCCCUUAAGCAUCUCAUUUCAAACAUUUUCAAAAGGGAAGCAAACAAGAAUGUAUUUUACAAAUAAAAAUUAGUUUAAUGAAAAUUUCCAUAAGACAAAUUGAUUAUGAUUCUCACUUGGUUUUGAUUAGAAAUGUUUCAAAAUGAUUUUGGAAACUAUUUUUCUAGAUAUAGUCCUGAACUCUUUAUUUACUGAAUUUUGUAAUGUUCAUAUGGAUGGAAACUAAAAGAGAAAGUUGAUUAGAGAAUGACUGAGUUUUUCUAAAACGGAGAUUUACUGAAAUGGAUUCUUACUUGCUAAGACUGCAGAAUAUAUUUAUAUAUGUGAUUCACCAUACGGAUGUAGGAAAAUGUUCAAAUAUUUGUGUAUCAAGUUUCAGACUUUCAUAAAUGUUUGCUACAGCAAGUAA